rfam:Echovirus 23 strain CT86-6760, complete genome.
UCCUAGAGAGCUUGGCCGUCGGGCCUUAUACCCGACUUGCUGAGUUUCUCUAGGAGAGUCCCUUUCCCAGCCCUGAGGCGGCUGGUCAAUAAAAGCCUCAAA